GACAGAGGAUGCAAACGUUGCUCGGAAUUACUGGGCGUAAAGCGCAUGUAGGCGGUCCGGUAAGUCAGGUGUGAAAUCCCGGGGCCCAACCUCGGAAGGGCACAUGAUACUGCCGGACUUGAGUACUGGAAAGGAGAGUGGAAUUCCCGGUGUAGAGGUGAAAUUCGUAGAUAUCGGGAGGAACACCAGUGGCGAAGGCGACUCUCUGGACAGAUACUGACGCUGAGAUGCGAAAGCGUGGGAAGCAAACAGG
rnacentral:rRNA from 1 species